UAUGUGGACAAAAGAAAUCAAAAACGAUUUGUAACACUUCGUUUAAUCAAUGGCUAAAUGAAGAUGAAGAUCGAACAAGAAGGAGAAGAGAAGUGUAUUCGCGAAUCGGAGAAGGAGAAGAGAAGCUGAUGAUUCGUUCAAUGUGUUAAUAAAGAUCUCGACUUUGUUAAUUGCUAUUCCGUCUGGUGUUAUUCGUUGUUUCUAUCCUCGGCUCUUUCGAUAGAGAGGCUGCGGAGGUUAUUUUGUCUCAAUUCGAUCUCCUUCGUCAGAUGUGGAUAUGAUGAAGGAGAGAUUUGUAAAGUUGUUGCUUGGUGAAGAUAUGUCAGGUUCUGGCAAAGGCGUGUGUACGGCUUUAGCCAUCUCCAACGCUAUCACUAAUCUAUGUGCUACAAUAAGACUAUCUUAUUUUUGGGCAACUAUGGAGAUUAGAGCCGCUUCCGAGGGAAAAGAAGGAGAUGUGGAGAAGAGAGAUGGAGUGGAUACUUAGUGUUAGUGAUCACAUCGUUGAGUUAACACCUUCUACACAAACUUACCAAGACGGCAAAAAGUUUGAGGUGUGGCCUUGCAAAGUGAUUGCUCCCAAAUACAAAGAGCUAUCUGAGAAGUACCAGGAUAUGGUGUUUCUUAAGCUUGACUGCAACCAAGACAACAAGGUUUGUUCUUCCUUUUGCUAUUAAUGUGUCUUUAUUCUAUAAUUUGUAGUCAGAGUAAUAAAACAGUUUCCAUAAGUAUUAGUAUUAUAUCUGAAUAUAAAAAUGGUGAAAAUAAAGAGAUAUGUUCGUGUUCGUGGAGCGGAGGACAACAUAGUUGGUUUCCGCGUGCUGUACGAGACACAGAGAUAACUUCUAGAUAGAGAGAGAGAAACAGAGAUGGAGACAAAAACCCUUUAAAGGAUUUGAACGGAGAAGACGAGGCAUAACACAACACAACAACUCUGUAAAUCUCUCUGUUUCCCUUGGAAUUAUCGAUCUCUCAAUCACUCAUGCUGUAAAGUAUAAGGAUCAUCCUCUAUCUUAAUUCUGCUCUUGGAGGGCAAGAUACAAGAGACAAAAGCAAAGAAAGAUACGCUCCUUCCACGUGCUCGAACUGCCAAGUUUGUAUCGGUUCCUUAUUAUCCUUAAUGGGAAACUUGUUCCUUGUUCCACAAACAACAGUCACUGUUUGAAAAAAAAAAAAAAAAAAAGCACUUCCAAACCAAGUAC